CUUGAUUUAUCAAGCGGUAGGAGAGCGUUCUAUUUGCGUCGAAGGUAUACCGACAAGGAGUGCUGGAGCGAAUAGAAGUGAGCAUGCAGGCAUGAGUAGCGAUAAUUAAUGUGAGAAUCAUUAACGCCGUAAACCCAAGGUUUCCUACGCGAUGCUCGUCAUCGUAGGGUUAGUCGGGUCCUAAGCUGAGUCCGAAAGGGGUAAGCGAUGGCAAAUAGGUUAAUAUUCCUAUACCAACAUUAGUGUGCGAUGGAAGGACGCUUAGGGCUAAGGGGGCUAGCGGAUGGAAGUGCUAGUCUAAGGUCGUAGGAGGUUAUACAGGCAAAUCCGUAUAACAAUACUCCGAGAACUGAAAGGCUUUUUGAAGUCUUCGGAUGGAAAGAAGAACCCCUGAUGCCGUCGAGCCAAGAAAAGUUUCUAAGUUUAGCUAAUGUUGCCCGUACCGUAAACCGACACAGGUGGGUGGGAUGAGUAUUCUAAGGCGCGUGGAAGAACUCUCUUUAAGGAACUCUGCAAAAUAGCACCGUAUCUUCGGUAUAAGGUGUGCCUCCCUUUGUAUUAGAAUUCACUUCGAAAGCAAAGAAGGUUACAACAAAGAGUCCCUCCCGACUGUUUACCAAAAACACAGCACUCUGCUAACUCGUAAGAGGAUGUAUAGGGUGUGACGCCUGCCCGGUGCUCGAAGGUUAAUUGAUGGGGUUAGCAUUAGCGAAGCUCUUGAUCGAAGCCCGAGUAAACGGCGGCCGUAACUAUAACGGUCCUAAGGUAGCGAAAUUCCUUGUCGGUUAAAUACCGACCUGCAUGAAUGGCGUAACGAGAUGGGAGCUGUCUCAAAGAGGGAUCCAGUGAAAUUGUAGUGGAGGUGAAAAUUCCUCCUACCCGCGGCAAGACGGAAAGACCCCGUGGACCUUUACUACAGCUUGACACUGCUAUUUGGAUAAGAAUGUGCAGGAUAGGUGGGAGGCUUUGAGUAUAUGACGCCAGUUGUAUAUGAGCCAUUGUUGAGAUACCACUCUUUCUUAUUUGGGUAGCUAACCAGCUUGAGUUAUCCUCAAGUGGGACAAUGUCUGGUGGGUAGUUUGACUGGGGCGGUCGCCUCCCAAAUAAUAACGGAGGCUUACAAAGGUUGGCUCAUAGCGGUUGGAAAUCGCUAGUAGAGUAUAAAGGUAUAAGCCAGCUUAACUGCAAGACAUACAAGUCAAGCAGAGACGAAAGUCGGUCUUAGUGAUCCGGUGGUUCUGUGUGGAAGGGCCAUCGCUCAAAGGAUAAAAGGUACCCCGGGGAUAACAGGCUGAUCUCCCCCAAGAGCUCACAUCGACGGGGAGGUUUGGCACCUCGAUGUCGGCUCAUCGCAUCCUGGGGCUGGAGCAGGUCCCAAGGGUAUGGCUGUUCGCCAUUUAAAGCGGUACGCGAGCUGGGUUCAGAACGUCGUGAGACAGUUCGGUCCCUAUCUGCCGUGGGCGUAAGAAGAUUGAAGAGAUUUGACCCUAGUACGAGAGGACCGGGUUGAACAAACCACUGGUGUAGCUGUUGUUCUGCCAAGAGCAUCGCAGCGUAGCUAAGUUUGGAAAGGAUAAACGCUGAAAGCAUCUAAGCGUGAAGCCAACUCUAAGAUGAAUCUUCUCUAAGCUCUCUAGAAGACUACUAGUUUGAUAGGCUGGGUGUGUAAUGGAUGAAAGUCCUUUAGCUGACCAGUACUAAUAGAGCGUUUGGCUUA
rnacentral:rRNA from 1 species